rnacentral:rRNA from 1 species
GAUGAACGCUAGCUACAGGCUUAACACAUGCAAGUCGAGGGGAAACGAUAGAGAAAGCUUGCUUUUUCUAGGCGUCGACCGGCGCACGGGUGAGUAACGCGUAUCCAACCUUCCGUUUACUCAGGGAUAGCCUUUCGAAAGAAAGAUUAAUACCUGAUAGUAUGGUGAGAUUGCAUGAUAGCACCAUUAAAGAUUUAUUGGUAAACGAUGGGGAUGCGUUCCAUUAGGUAGUAGGCGGGGUAACGGCCCACCUAGCCUGCGAUGGAUAGGGGUUCUGAGAGGAAGGUCCCCCACAUUGGAACUGAGACACGGUCCAAACUCCUACGGGAGGCAGCAGUGAGGAAUAUUGGUCAAUGGGCGAGAGCCUGAACCAGCCAAGUAGCGUGAAGGAUGAAGGUCCUACGGAUUGUAAACUUCUUUAUACGGGAAUAAAGUUUCCUACGUGUAGGAUUUUGUAUGUACCGUAUGAAUAAGCAUCGGCUAACUCCGUG